UACGGAGGAUCCAAGCGUUAUCCGGAAUCAUUGGGUUUAAAGGGUCCGUAGGCGGUUUAAUAAGUCAGUGGUGAAAUCUGGUCGCUCAACGAUCAAACGGCCAUUGAUACUGUUAGACUUGAAUUACUAGGAAGUAACUAGAAUAUGUAGUGUAGCGGUGAAAUGCUUAGAUAUUACAUGGAAUACCAAUUGCGAAGGCAGGUUACUACUAGUGGAUUGACGCUGAUGGACGAAAGCGUGGGGAGCGAACAGGAUUAGAUACCCUGGUAGUCCACGCCGUAAACGAUGGAUACUAGCUGUUGGGAGCAAUCUCAGUGGCUAAGCGAAAGUGAUAAGUAUCCCACCUGGGGAGUACGUUCGCAAGAAUGAA
rnacentral:rRNA from 1 species